CUGAGAACAGCCAUUGCCCCAUGCUGUGAAAAAGGAGAAGAACAAGACAGAGGGAAGCCAAGAUGAAAUGCUAAAAGACAUAAAGAGGAAAUGUUGCAGAAUAUUGUUUACCCUGUGAAGGUGUGUCUUUGCCAAUGUGCCUUCUGAUUGGUUUUAAGCCAGACUUCUGGGGACAGAAAAGACUCUAAAAGAAGAAAG
rnacentral:lncRNA from 1 species